ensembl:lncRNA
CGUGGUUUAAUGGCACCAGAUUGCAUGGGCGUGUUUCAUCUUUACAGAACCAAUCAACUUACUCAGUUUAAGCCUCAGCUGGGUGUUACUUAUACCAACUUUUUUUCAGUAUGCCCUGAAGCAGGCCCCAAAGGUCAGGGUCAUUUCACCUUUCCCCCCUUAUAGACCUUUGUCCUCCCAGCUGCUUAUUAUUGUUGGUGUUUUGGUGAGGUUCAAGUUAUGAAAUCAUUUCUGUGGUACAAUGCUGAAGUGUGCAUAGAGGACUCGUGGAGUAGUAAGUGAAAUGAGACAGAGGCGUAACAAGGAACUGACAUCAAGAAAAAUAGAGUAAAACAUGAUUUAAUCUGAACAGUGAAAAUCUGUGAAGCUAAAUGCAAAUAAAACUGUAGGCUGUGCAGGUGUUCUGUAU